AAGUCGUAACAAGGUUUCCGUAGGUGAACCUGCGGAAGGAUCAUUACAGAGAGGGUUUUUGGUGGGUGUGGGGGGGGCUUGGUUGGUGGGUGGGUAGAGCGCUUUGCUCAGAAGAGCACUGCUCUCUACUCUGCCUGCCUGACCGAGCAUCCCACCCUACCGACCACAUCAGCACGGAGGCCGCUUGUCUAUACAGGCAGGCGGUCCCAUGUUUACGCUUGCUUGUUUGACAGAGUCACAUACCAAGUUCAACUUUUACAACUUUUAACAAUGGAUCUCUUGGCUCUU
rnacentral:misc_RNA from 1 species